rnacentral:rRNA from 1 species
AUGCCCCGAAUAUCCCGGGCUACACGCGAGCUACAAUGGUUGGUACAAUGGGUAUCUACCCCGAAAGGGGACGGGAAUCUCCUAAAACCAAUCUUAGUUCGGAUUGAGGGCUGCAACUCGCCCUCAUGAAGCUGGAAUCCGUAGUAAUCGCGUUUCAACAGAACGCGGUGAAUACGUCCCUGCUCCUU